rnacentral:rRNA from 1 species
GGUACCUUGACGGUACCUAACCAGAAAGCCACGGCUAACUACGUGCCAGCAGCCGCGGUAAUACGUAGGUGGCAAGCGUUGUCCGGAAUUAUUGGGCGUAAAGCGCGCGCAGGCGGUCUUUUAAGUCUGAUGUGAAAGCCCACGGCUCAACCGUGGAGGGUCAUUGGAAACUGGAGGACUUGAGUGCAGAAGAGGAGAGUGGAAUUCCACGUGUAGCGGUGAAAUGCGUAGAUAUGUGGAGGAACACCAGUGGCGAAGGCGGCUCUCUGGUCUGUAACUGACGCUGAGGCGCGAAAGCGUGGGGAGCAAACAGGAUUAGAUACCCUGGUAGUCCACGCCGUAAACGAUGAGUGCUAGGUGUUGGGGGGUUCCACCCUCAGUGCUGAAGUUAACACAUUAAGCACUCCGCCUGGGGAGUACGACCGCAAGGUUGAAACUCAAAGGAAUUGACGGGGGCCCGCACAAGCAGUGGAGCAUGUGGUUUAAUUCGAAGCAACGCGAAGAACCUUACCAGGUCUUGACAUCCUCUGACAAUCCUGGAGACAGGACGUUCCCCUUCGGGGGACAGAGUGACAGGUGGUGCAUGGUUGUCGUCAGCUCGUGUCGUGAGAUGUUGGGUUAAGUCCCGCAACGAGCGCAACCCUUGAUCUUAGUUGCCAGCAUUUAGUUGGGCACUCUAAGGUGACUGCCGGUGACAAACCGGAGGAAGGUGGGGAUGACGUCAAAUCAUCAUGCCCCUUAUGACCUGGGCUACACACGUGCUACAAUGGACGGUACAAAGGGCAGCAACACCGCGAGGUGAAGCAAAUCCCAUAAAGCCGUUCUCAGUUCGGAUUGCAGGCUGCAACUCGCCUGCAUGAAGCCGGAAUUGCUAGUAAUCGCGGAUCAGCAUGCCGCGGUGAAUAC